CCAGAGUGUUAGAGUUCAAAAUGGCUGGGACAGCACUGUAGCAAGCAGUGAGCAAGAUGGCAGGAACAGGAAGCUGAGAACUCACAUCUUAAACAACAUCCAGGGGACUGGAUGGGUCAUGAAUCUUAUAACUCUUAAAACCCUUCUCCAGUGAUGUAUAGCCUCCAACAAGGCUGCACCUCCUAACUCCUCCCAAACAGCACCACCUACUGGACAGCAAGUGGUCAAGCAUCAGCACCUAUGAGGGACAUUCUCAUUCAAAUCACCACAAAAAAAAAAAAAAGAAAAUUUUUAAAAAGUCACCUCAAAACUUAUAUGAUAUCUAUCAAUAAUUUGACAACUGUGUAUAUGUAUAAGUAAAUAAUAUGUUUACACCAGCUGGGCAUUCUCUGAUCAUUGUGGAGAUAAGCAUAGCAAUAUAGAAUUCUGGAAUUUAAAUGAUCAAAUCACUACCUAACAGAAAGGAAGAAGUUAAAAAUGCUCAGAAGGAAGGAUGAUGAGCACAAGAGGACCACAGUUCAAUGGGACUUUUCCACAGGAAGAAGAAGUAAGAGUCAAUACUCUUCCAGGAGGUAGACACUACAGGUUUGCUCACCUGGCCUACAGGUAUACCUAAAGCUCAUGAGAUCAUCAUCCUUUUCUGGAGACAGAAUCCAUACUGCCUUGAGUCCUAAACCAUGAAACAUGACACCACCUCUGGAAAUGUAGAGGGCGGCCUAAGACAUCUCACUUCCUGAUGGUUGAUGGAACAGUGCAGACAUUAGUGCUACCUUCACAGAACAGCCCUUGAUCACAGCCCUUGAUCUCCAGCACAACAGUGCUGUUGGUUUACUUCAGAAUAAGAUGAAAACUGACACAUAAUAUUGUUGUUCUAUCUUUCUUCUCAUGCAAAUAAAACUAUGGAUCAA